rnacentral:sRNA from 2 species
AUAGAUCCUCGUUAGGUGAGGCUCCUAUACAAACAUAGGCUACUGCCCGGAAACAUCGAAAGAUGCCAAUGGGUAGAACAGGAACUGCCGAAUUAAGGCUUUUCAUAAGGUAGCUAAGGAUUUUUCCUUUACGUUGUAUAGUGCCAAAGCUCUACUGUGGGGGAGAAGU